rnacentral:rRNA from 1 species
UAGGGGGUUCGCAGACGAGUGGCGGACGGGUGAGUAAUGUCUGGGAAACUGCCUGAUGGAGGGGGAUAACUACUGGAAACGGUAGCUAAUACCGCAUAACGUCGCAAGACCAAAGAGGGGGACCUUCGGGCCUCUUGCCAUCGGAUGUGCCCAGAUGGGAUUAGCUAGUAGGUGGGGUAACGGCUCACCUAGGCGACGAUCCCUAGCUGGUCUGAGAGGAUGACCAGCCACACUGGAACUGAGACACGGUCCAGACUCCUACGGGAGGCAGCAGUGGGGAAUAUUGCACAAUGGGCGCAAGCCUGAUGCAGCCAUGCCGCGUGUAUGAAGAAGGCCUUCGGGUUGUAAAGUACUUUCAGCGGGGAGGAAGGCGAUAAGGUUAAUAACCUUGUCGAUUGACGUUACCCGCAGAAGAAGCACCGGCUAACUCCGUGCCAGCAGCCGCGGUAAUACGGAGGGUGCAAGCGUUAAUCGGAAUUACUGGGCGUAAAGCGCACGCAGGCGGUCUGUCAAGUCGGAUGUGAAAUCCCCGGGCUCAACCUGGGAACUGCAUUCGAAACUGGCAGGCUAGAGUCUUGUAGAGGGGGGUAGAAUUCCAGGUGUAGCGGUGAAAUGCGUAAAGAUCUGGAGGAAUACCGGUGGCGAAGGCGGCCCCCUGGACAAAGACUGACGCUCAGGUGC